GUGCACCUACUUAUGAAUCAUUGAAAAAGCUAGAGUAAAUACAACUCAUCGAUAUAGAAUCCCUUCGUCUAUAUUCUCAGUUGCCUCUGCUCAUCAGACGCACUCUUAAACCAGAAACAUUGCCUGGUAUGUAUGAAGUGGCUUUCAUUAAAAUACAAGAAGCUUCUGUUAUGAAUUUAUGAUUAUAUGCAGUCUGUGUACAGAGAUGACCAGAGAAAGACUUAGACCAGAGCUCAUAAAUCACUAACUCUCUAUGUCUUUGCGUAUGCAGGAGGAUAGGUGAAAAGGAAGAUGAUAAAGUUCCAAAAGGGACUGAUAUCUUCAUUUCCAUCUACAUACUUAUGGGAUGACCCACAAUAGUUUGAGCCUCAGAGGUUCUUAAGAACAAAGGAGAGAAAUGGUAUUGAAGGCUGGGCUGGCUUUGAUCCCUCUUGAACCCUGGUGCACUUUUUAUGAUUAGAGAGCAGAGAAACAUAGAGAUGGUGAUGAGGUUUAUGCCUGAUAACUUGGAGAACUACCUCUCGGAUCUUUUACAUGUAACACCAACACUUAGUGGCUCUUCUUCUGCAUCUUCUUCCAUAUGUAUCUCAGUUGGAUGUGGAGGAAUCUAAAGUUCAUAGAGCAUUGUCUAGCUUCUUCACUCGAAUGGAUGUAAAUUUUCAAUUCUGUAUAAUCAAACAUUAAUUUCUUAUGUCGCGGAAACCGGUUAUACCGGGUCUUUGGUGUAUUUUUAAAUCAUAGUUUGGUAACCCCCUGCUUGAGAUGCAAACAAUUUUAAUAUUUUACAAUUGUCAA